GAUGAACGCUGGCGGCGUGCCUAAUACAUGCAAGUCGAGCGAACAGACGAGGAGCUUGCUCCUCUGACGUUAGCGGCGGACGGGUGAGUAACACGUGGAUAACCUACCUAUAAGACUGGGAUAACUUCGGGAAACCGGAGCUAAUACCGGAUAAUAUAUUGAACCGCAUGGUUCAAUAGUGAAAGACGGUUUUGCUGUCACUUAUAGAUGGAUCCGCGCCGCAUUAGCUAGUUGGUAAGGUAACGGCUUACCAAGGCAACGAUGCGUAGCCGACCUGAGAGGAUGAUCGGCCACACUGGAACUGAGACACGGUCCAGACUCCUACGGGAGGCAGCAGUAGGGAAUAUUCCGCAAUGGGCGAAAGCCUGACGGAGCAACGCCGCGUGAGUGAUGAAGGUCUUCGGAUCGUAAAGCUCUGUUAUUAGGAAAGAACAGAUGUAUAAGUAACUAUGCACGUCUUGACGGUACCUAAACAGAAAGCCACGGCUAACUACGUG
rnacentral:rRNA from 1 species